AGCGAACGCUGGCGGCAGGCCUAACACAUGCAAGUCGAGCGCCGUAGCAAUACGGAGCGGCAGACGGGUGAGUAACGCGUGGGAACGUGCCCUUCGGUUCGGAAUAACUCAGGGAAACUUGAGCUAAUACCGGAUACGUCCGAAAGGAGAAAGAUUUAUCGCCGAAGGAUCGGCCCGCGUAAGAUUAGCUAGUUGGUGAGGUAACGGCUCACCAAGGCUCUGAUCUUUAGCUGGUCUGAGAGGACGAUCAGCCACACUGGGACUGAGACACGGCCCA
rnacentral:rRNA from 1 species